GUCCGCAAGGACAAUUUGACAAUUUGACCUCAAAUCAGGUAGGACUACCCGCUGAACUU
rnacentral:rRNA from 1 species